AUUAUUGGUCCUAGUGACAUCGGACAAUUUUUGAGAGGAAAAAUAUUGAAUGUAGCUCUUAUCCAUGUCUACAUGAGGUGAUGUUCAUUAUCUUAAAAUUUAGGCAUUAUUGUUUAAUUGUUUUAAUAACCGAAUUACUAACAAAAUUUUCUUAUUCAUGAGUUUAGUGCGGCUUAUAAAGAGCUAAAUUCUUGUGAACCUCCAAUAAAAAUUGGAUGGUUUUGUCCUAAGUCAAUGAUCCAGAUGACAUCAAAGCAUACAUUGAGACUGCUUUGAAUAAUUCCCUUGCAUCUAAACACACGUUCAUUCUGGCUCCAUAUGUGGAAGACUUGCAUUCAUACUUUUGGUCAUAUAUCCUUUAACGAAUACUGUGCACGUCUUCGACUCAUUACAAAAAGCUCAAAGCCCGCCUCGCAACACAAAAUUCAAAGCCUCGUUGAAUGCCACAAUGAAGAAAGUGCGUGGAGAAAUGGGAUCUAUAUCCAGAGCCACAUUUUCGAAAUGAACAGAAAUAAAGAGCUUUCGACAAGAUUAUAAUACCGUUGAUUGCGGCUACUACACUCUCAAAUACAUGGAGGAUAUCUUACAAUUCGUGAAGGAGAUUGGAGUCGAAAACAUUGAUGUCGUUUUAUACAACACUCCAAGGAAAACACGCCCUUUGAGAGAUAGGGAAAUAGGCGAAUUGAAAGACAAAAUUGUCGCGUAUCUUGCUAAUUUUUGUUCUUGGUAAAUAAUGUAAUAAGUUUAGAUUUAGGACUUUUGUAUAUGUAUAUUAUUUUAUAUACGAACGAGAGUGUGUAUAUAUAUAUAUAUAUUAGUUCGUGAUUAUUGGUGAUUAUCAUUGGAUUAUUACAUUGUACAUUAAUCAUUAGAUUAUUUAUUAAUAUUCUUGGUUUUAAAUCUUUUGAACCAAGUGGCCUUCCACGCUUUCUUUGCACAACAAUUUCAUCACUUUUUGCUUUUUCAUCAGGAAUUUCUAUUCGAGCUGGAGUAUUUGCUGCUGGUAUAUGUGAUUUUGUAACUCUCUUAGUAUUUGUGAAUGCAUCAGGUAAUUGGUUAGCAACACUUUGUAGAUGACAAUUCGUUGUACUUCUUGUUCACAUGAUUUUGUUUUUGGGU